rnacentral:lncRNA from 1 species
GAGGGAGGGCCCGAGGCGCCCGAGGGUCAGAGCACCCCGGGCCGCCCUGGUCGGUGACGGCCGGCGUGAACGGGGUGAAUCACGGAAUGGUCGGGGUUGGAGUGACCUGUGGAGAUAACUCAGUCCAUCCCCCUGCCCACACAAGGUCACCCAGAGCAGGUGACACGAGGAUGCGUCCAGGUAGCUCUGAAAUGUCUCCAGAGAGGGAGACUCCACACCCUCCCUGUGCAGCUCUUCCAGAGCUCUGCCACCCUCAAUGGAAAGAAUUCCUCCUUGUGUAGGGGUGAAACUUCUCGUGUUUUAGUUCAUGCCCUUUGCUCCUUGUCCUUCGGCUGUACACCGCCGAAGAGGCUGGCACCAUCCUCUUGAGACCCUCCUGGGAGAUGUUGAUAAGUAUGGGUGAGAUCUUUCUCAGCCUUCUCUACACUAAACAGGCCCUGCUCCCGCAGGCUCUCCUCAUAAAAGAGAUGCUCUUUAUUAAAAUGAAUCUUAUUUGAAUUCAUUGCAGGAGUUCCUUGAGGCUUUGGUGGACUUCAUAGGCAGCUGCCCGAUGUGUCAUUCCCAUGGCUGUUCCUGGCUAGGUGUAGUUGAGAUGUCUGACAGUGGUUGGUUCCACAUCAAGAUCAUCGUCCUCUAAAAAUGAAUUAUGGAUCCAAGGAGAUCCAGCAGAGGCACUGAGGUUUGCAACACAACAAUCAGCUUAAGGAGGGCGAGUUUCCUCGGAGAGGUUUUGAUUAAAGCUACAGUACUUGCUGGUGAUGUGAGGAGUGAGCGAGGCGCCGGGCGUUCAGGUGAGUUCAGCAUUCAGAUGUCACAAGGGACAGCCCGGACACAGCUGAAGCGAAGGGACACGAAGGGACACAGCCUGGCUCUCUGCACAGAUGCACAUGCACGGAAUAAAGGAGGUACACAGAACCCACUCAUGCCUCGGGGAGUAAAAUUUAAUUCCUGA